CUAUAACGGUCCUAAGGUAGCGAAAUUCCUUGUCGGGUAAGUUCCGACCUGCACGAAUGGCGUAAUGAUGGCCAGGCUGUCUCCACCCGAGACUCAGUGAAAUUGAACUCGCUGUGAAGAUGCAGUGUACCCGCGGCAAGACGGAAAGACCCCGUGAACCUUUACUAUAGCUUGACACUGAACAUUGAGCCUUGAUGUGUAGGAUAGGUGGGAGGCUUUGAAGUGUGGACGCCAGUCUGCAUGGAGCCGGCCUUGAAAUACCACCCUUUAAUGUUUGAUGUUCUAACGUUGACCCGUGAUCCGGGUUGCGGACAGUGUCUGGUGGGUAGUUUGACUGGGGCGGUCUCCUCCUAAAGAGUAACGGAGGAGCACGAAGGUUGGCUAAUCCUGGUCGGACAUCAGGAGGUUAGUGCAAUGGCAUAAGCCAGCUUGACUGCGAGCGUGACGGCGCGAGCAGGUGCGAAAGCAGGUCAUAGUGAUCCGGUGGUUCUGAAUGGAAGGGCCAUCGCUCAACGGAUAAAAGGUACUCCGGGGAUAACAGGCUGAUACCGCCCAAGAGUUCAUAUCGACGGCGGUGUUUGGCACCUCGAUGUCGGCUCAUCACAUCCUGGGGCUGAAGUAGGUCCCAAGGGUAUGGCUGUUCGCCAUUUAAAGUGGUACGCGAGCUGGGUUUAGAACGUCGUGAGACAGUUCGGUCCCUAUCUGCCGUGGGCGCUGGAGAACUGAGGGGGGCUGCUCCUAGUACGAGAGGACCGGAGUGGACGCAUCACUGGUGUUCGGGUUGUCAUGCCAAUGGCACUGCCCGGUAGCUAAAUGCGGAAGAGAUAAGUGCUGAAAGCAUCUAAGCACGAAACUUGCCCCGAGAUGAGUUCUCCCUGACUCCUUGAGAGUCCUGAAGGAACGUUGAAGACGACGACGUUGAUAGGCCGGGUGUGUAAGCGCAGCGAUGCGUUGAGCUAACCGGUACUAAUGAACCGUGAGGCUUAACCUU
rnacentral:rRNA from 1 species